UACGGGGGGGGCAAGCGUUGUUCGGAAUUACUGGGCGUAAAGGGCUCGUAGGCGGCCAACUAAGUCAGACGUGAAAUCCCUCGGCUUAACCGGGGAACUGCGUCUGAUACUGGAUGGCUAGAGGUUGGGAGAGGGAUGCGGAAUUCCAGGUGUAGCGGUGAAAUGCGUAGAUAUCUGGAGGAACACCGGUGGCGAAGGCAAUCCCCUGGGCCUGCACUGACGCUCAUGCACGAAAGCGUGGGGAGCAAACAGG
rnacentral:rRNA from 1 species